UACAGAGGGUGCGAGCGUUGUCCGGAAUCACUGGGCGUAAAGGGCGCGUAGGCGGCAUGCCAAGCGUGUGGUGAAAGCCCGGGGCUCAACCCCGGGUCGGCCGUGCGGACUGGCAUGCUCGAGCACUGUAGGGGCGGGUGGAAUUCCGGGUGUAGCGGUGGAAUGCGUAGAGAUCCGGAAGAACACCGGUGGCGAAGGCGGCCCGCUGGGCAGGAAGGAAGCGUAAGCUUCCGGCUGACGCUGAGGCGCGACAGCGUGGGGAGCAAACAGG
rnacentral:rRNA from 1 species